CCGGCCUCGGCGAGCAGGACAGCCAGGGGCGAGGCCCGCGGGUGCCUCCCCCAGAAGCAGGCGGGGGACAUCGCACUCCGAUCCGCGUCCUUAAGUCACUCUUCUCGGAGCAAUAGCGCUACCGUCUGUCCGGGGUGGAAGGGGUGGCUGGGGAAAGAUGGACCCGCUGGAGGUGGCGUCUGGUCACUUGCCAGUCCCCUUCGCCCGCCACGGUGACGCUGCGGCUUCCUUCUCAACGUUCGCCUCGGCCUGCAACAUCUGUUAGCGCAGCCCCUAGACUGACUACAAAGGGCGAGGGUAGGGCUCAGGGACCCCACGCUUGUAGGCAGCUCAGCCUUCCGAACGCCCGGACGGCCCCCGCGGGCCCCUCUUCGCAGACUCCCAGCGGGCCAGAUCCCAGUUUGGGAGUCUCACUUGUCUGUGACCGGGGAAGGAAAAGCAAGCCCUCCUCGCCGGCCCCGACUCCGUGGAAGUCGUGCUUUAAACAGUUUCUGUAGAAACUGCUUCCCAGCAAGCUGAAGCCGAAUAAAGGGCAAAAACCGAGACAGCGCCUCCUGGUGGGGAACCUCGUCCACUACGCAAUGGGCAGCCCUGACUGUUCGGACCCUGGGGAGAACAGAUCAGCCUAAGUAAGCCAGGGGUGGCCAAGGACAAGUGAGCAUUCCAGGGAAUUUCUACAUGACCAGCUGUUCAUCCUUCCAAAGGGAUGACAUUCUUCAGCUCAUUUGCAAAAGAUACUUCCUCUAAGUCUGUGAUUCAGAGUCUCUGAGGGCAGGUGUGGUUGGAAAAGACAUUUCAUGUGGCAAAACACAAAUGUGAUGGUCUAAAAAAAUAAGGUGUAAUCUGGAAGCCUAAGCCAUUUGCUUAGAGGAAACUCCAGUUGGAUGUUAUCUCACCUUCUGCACCUUGUUCCCAAAAAUUAUUAGAAAGUGUCUGGACAACAGGAUUUUCAAAAACACCCAUUUAAUUAUAACUAGAGACUUCGAAAGUCAGGAUUUCCCACUGGGUUAUUUCACAACAAUUUAGUAGUUUUCGGACCGUCUCAGAGGUAGAGCUACAGUGGGAGAGACAGAGACAGAGAGAAAGGCCUUCCUUCCGUUGGUUCAUGCCCCAAAUGGCCGAUCCGAAGCCAGGAGCCAGGUGCUUCCUCCUGGUCUCCCAUGAGGAUGCAGGGCCCAAGCACCCGGGCCAUCCUCCACUGCCCUCUUGGGCCACAGCAGAGAGCUGGACUGGAAGAGGAGCAACCCGGGACUAGAAUCUGGCGCCCAUAGGGGAAGCCGGCACUGCAGGCGGAGGAUUAACCAAGUGAGCCAUGGCGCCAGCCCUCUGAAUCUUAAAUACUAUUAUAUUCCACAGAAAUUAUCUUUAAAAACUCACAAACCUUUUGUUAGGAAAAUGGCACAGUCUUAUCUGUGGCAUGAUCUGCACUUUGAUUUACAUCCUAUGCCCUGGUUCCUAUCGCCAUUGCUGAAAGCCAGGUAGCCACAUGGCCCAACUACUUGUGCCAAGCUCCACCCCCAACCUAAUGGGACUAAUUUCUACCUCCCUGCCAGGCCCCUGGAAGAAGUAUAUUAGACCCCCUUCCCAGACACGUGGCCUUUUUUCCCCCUUCGUCGCCCCACCCCUCUGGUCUGUUGGAUUUUCCCCAAUAAACCCUUUC